UUCCGGUUGAUCCUGCCAGAGGUCACUGCUAUCGGGGUUCGAUUAAGCCAUGCGAGUCGAGAGGGUUCGGCCCUCGGCGUACUGCUCAGUAACACGUGGAUAACCUGCCCUAGGGAAGGGGAUAACCCCGGGAAACUGGGGAUAAUACCCUAUAGGUUACAGAUGCUGGAAUGCUCUGUAACCCAAAGUUCCGGCGCCCUAGGAUGGAUCUGCGGCCGAUUAGGUUGUUGUUGGGGUAAUGGCCCAACAAGCCAGUAAUCGGUACGGGUUGUGGGAGCAAGAGCCCGGAGUUGGAUUCUGAGACACGAAUCCAGGCCCUACGGGGCGCAGCAGGCGCGAAGACUUUACAAUGCGGGCAACCGUGAUAAGGGAACCUCGAGUGCCUGUAAAUGCAGGCUGUUUAGGUGUUUAAAACGCACCUGGAGAAAGGGCCGGGCAAGACCGGUGCCAGCCGCCGCGGUAAUACCGGCGGCUCGAGUGGUGGCCACUUUUAUUGGGCUUAAAGCGUUCGUAGCUGGGUUGUUAAGUCUCUUGGGAAAUCUGGCGGCUUAACCGUCAGGCGUCUAAGGGAUACUGGCAAUCUUGGAACCGGGAGAGGUGAGGGGUACUUCGGGGGUAGGAGUGAAAUCCUGUAAUCCUCGAGGGACCACCUGUGGCGAAGGCGCCUCACCAGAACGGCUUCGACAGUGAGGGACGAAAGCUGGGGGAGCAAACCGGAUUAGAUACCCGGGUAGUCCCAGCCGUAAACGAUGCGCGUUAGGUGUAUCGGUGACCACGAGUCACCGAGGUGCCGAAGGGAAACCGUGAAACGUGCCGCCUGGGAAGUACGGUCGCAAGGCUGAAACUUAAAGGAAUUGGCGGGAA
rnacentral:rRNA from 1 species